UACGAAGGGGGCUAGCGUUGCUCGGAAUCACUGGGCGUAAAGCGCACGUAGGCGGAUCUUUAAGUCAGGGGUGAAAUCCCAAGGCUCAACCUUGGAACUGCCUUUGAUACUGGGGAUCUCGAGUCCGGAAGAGGUGAGUGGAACUGCGAGUGUAGAGGUGAAAUUCGUAGAUACUCGCAAGAACACCAGUGGCGAAGGCGGCUCACUGGUCCGGUACUGACGCUGAGGUGCGAAAGCGUGGGGAGCAAACAGG
rnacentral:rRNA from 1 species